GAUGAACCUGCAACACAUUGUGCUAAGAGAAAUCAAUCAGUCACAGAAGGACGAAGACCCUGUGAUCCUAACUGAGGCAUUCAAAAUAGUGGAAUGUGGAGAAGUGGACAGUAGAAUUCAUUGCAGUUACCAGGGCGAAGGAGGAGAGGGGGCGAUGGGGAGCUGCUUCUCAGUGAGGGUCAACCUGCAGUGACAAAGAUGAAGAAGCUCCCAAGAUGUGCUGUGAGACACCUGCCUAUCAUUAACGGGUCUCAUUCUGUAGUGCCAGCUGGUCUUGAGCCCACUGUGUACCCCCAGGCUGGCCUGGAAUUUAAGGGGAUCCUCACGCCUCAGCCUCCAGGUGUUAGGGUUACAGGCAGACAGCCUCACGUCGGGCUCUGGUGUCAUUUCUACAUCAGCACCACAGACCUUGGUACCUUGCCUUAGAAACAACUUUUCACACGCAGCUCACAUAGCUCAGUUUUCUAUAUUCUCCUAUGUUCAGGACACACGGAAAAAUAGAAGAGAGAAAUAGUUUGCAAAAGUAUCACGCAGCCAGCCACCAUAGAGCUGCAUCCAGGGCCUCUGCUGAAGCUGCUGCUUAUGUUUGUGGGUUUCAAAUGUCACACUGGCCUGGAAGCCUUUAUCAUGAGUGUGCCUGGCUGUAAGAAACAGGACAGAGAGGGGUGAGGAGUCCUAAGGAAGUCCCAGGAGAACCCGAGGGAAAGAACUGCAGGGGUUUCAAAGAAGCAGGUAGUACAAGAGACCAGAGUGCAAAUUUGGAAAUGCCCAGUUUAGAUGCAGACAAGAAUAAAAGAAAGCUAUUACUACCCACUAAUAACCCUAUCCCCUCCCCCCAUCCUGCCCCAAGCAAGCCACCUGGCCUUGCUCCCCAGCUUUGCCAACCCCACAGCCCAGUCAUAGCUUUAAUGAGAAAGAUGGACUCUGCUUGAGAUGUUCUCCAACCUUGGGAAGUGCUGAGGUCAGGCUGCAGAGCGCAGCAGCUGCCUGCGGCUUCUGCCCCCCAGUGAAAACCACACCGCCCCCUGCAGCAAGCGCCCACACAUCUGCGGAGGAGGCCGUUCCACCCUGAAGGGACUUGUUCUGGAUUUCAAAGUUGACUCCCCAGCUCCACAGCCUCCUCUUCCAACAAACAAGCCCAAAGCUUCGGGUGGCUGUGAGCUGCGUUCCUUGGCUUCCUUGGCUUGAGUCUGUAGCACUCUAAUCUCUGCCAUGGUCACAGGGCAUUCACCUCUCCCAUCUGUGUCUCCAUUGAGGACACUCAUCAAGGGCUCACGCCCACUUGGAUAAUCCAGGAAGAUCUCACCUCAAGACCCCUCCAUCAGUUACAUAUGCAAAGGAGACUCUUUUUUUUUUUUUUCAAAUAAGGUCAAUGUUACAGAUUCUGGGGCAUGGGGAUAUCCAUUGAGGGGGCAUCAUUCAAACCAAAAUACCAUGGAUUGAAAGAAAUUUGAAUAAUACUAGAAUUUUAAAAACUCAAAGUUUGAAGGGCAUUUGGAAUCUUGUUCAUUCAAUCCCUGUGUACAAUCCUUGUUGACUAUACUGUACCACUUCAUGCAGCACUGUGAGGUAUUGAGCUUUUGUCCUACAUUUUGUGAAACUUUGGAGUGCUGAAAAUGUUAGAAUCAAAUUUCUUAGCUUCUGAGACUGAGAAGUCAACUCUCACAUCAGAGUCCUCACAGGUCUAGGUCCUGGGAUCUCUUCUCUCAUUAAGAUACAAGAGAUGAUUGAAAAAUACAAUGAAUGCUUAAAAUUUUAAAAAUUUAUUAUAGUAAAGCACAUUGCCUUUAACACCCCUCAAAACUCUCCCCCUCACUUUGAAUACACUUAUCCCAUCCUUCUCGCCACUUUCUGAGGCAGUUCUGGAAGCCCACUUUUGUGUCUCCAUGAAGUUUGAUUAAAAAAAAAAAAAAAAAAAGGUAGUGAAUGCUACUACCAAGAGCAGUCCAACAGAAGAGUCCUAAAAACACUGUGGUGUGUCUUCAUCCCUCUUAUUCACUGGAUCUGGCAUUGUAUGACUUCCCAAUGUUCACUCAAAUUCAAAAUGACUGUGAAAGGUAAAUGUUUUGAAACAAUGUAGGUCGUCAAAGCAUCCAUGAUAAGCACAGCUGAGACACACACACACACAAAAGAAAACUUCCAGAACUCAGAAAGUUUCAGAACUUUCAGAACGUGGCAAGAAUUGCAGGAUAACUGUUCAAAGCUAGUGAGACUGUUUUGGAGGGAAUUAAUGGCAAUUUGUUUUUUCACUGCAAUGCUUAUUUUUAAUUUAAAUGUCCUAUUUUAUCACACCUCGGACAUGCCAGAUUACUAACCUCAUCUGAGGCAAUAAAUGCAAGCUUUCGUGACUCCUCAAAUUCACAU